UAUGGUAUAGCUUGGUGGCAGAGCACUUGCCUGGCAUAUGCAAGGUCCUGGGUUCUAUCCCCAGCACCAUGA
rnacentral:tRNA from 1 species